rnacentral:lncRNA from 1 species
GCUUGUUGUUUGUUGAUUGCUAUCAAACUUUGGUAUUUGUAGUUCCUGAUCUUAGGUAACAGACCUUGCACUAUUCUUUUUUCUGAACUUUUUUGUGAUUAUGCAAUGCUUUUCUAAGUAUUUAAGGUACAAACAUGUUGAUAUGGACACAUCCCAUUUGCUCUUUAUUGUGUUGCUAAGGACACUGAUGGGUUGAGUUGGCAUAUAGUGCAGGUAUAUUUACAUUCUGUACAUUUUGUGAUGCUGAUGCCUGUAGUCCCAAAGUGUUUAUUUACCCAAAUUUUGCUACUGGAACUUUUGGUUUUAGAUAUUGGCACCUGAUAUUUGAAUGGAUGUUUUCAUGAUGCCUAAUUUGAUUCAUUAUCGUUGUUCUGAUGGUGUGCUACUGGUGUUUUAACUGAAGCCGUGGAUCGCUCAUCAACCUGGUAUGUGUUUCGAUGAUAAUCCCUCUCGAAUUUUACUCGUUCCUAUAUUUUACACAAAUGUUUAUCUCAUGGCUGGUAAUGGUAACCUUAUGAAUGCAUAGCCCACAUUUUAGCUAGUUAUAUAGUAAUGCCAUACUUGCUUGGAUGAUGUUUUAUAUAUGCAAGUGUGGUGAGCUCAUAUAUUUUGUCGGAAUCUAUCUAUGCAGCUGAGCUCUUUCUGGAUAGGACAGAGGUACAAUAUUUACAUCCAUGGCAGAAGGUUCUUA